rnacentral:rRNA from 1 species
UACGGAGGGUGCGAGCGUUGUCCGGAAUCACUGGGCGUAAAGGGCGCGUAGGCGGUUGGGGAAGUCCGUGGUGAAAGCUCGUGGCUCAACUACGAGUCGGCCAUGGAUACUCCUUGACUUGAGCACUGUAGAGGCAGAUGGAAUUCCGGGUGUAGCGGUGAAAUGCGUAGAUAUCGGGAGGAACACCAUGGCGAAGGCGA